rnacentral:rRNA from 1 species
CAAUAGCGUAUAUUAAAGUUGUUGCGGUUAAAAAGCUCGUAGUUGGAUUUCUGCCGAGGACGACCGGUCCGCCCUCUGGGUGUGUAUCUGGUUUGGCCUGGGCAUCUUCUUGGAGAACGUAGCUGCACUUGACUGUGUGGUGCGGUGUCCAGGACUUUUACUUUGAGGAAAUUAGAGUGUUUCAAGCAGGCACACGCCUUGAAUACAUUAGCAUGGAAUAAUAAGAUAGGACCUCGGUUCUAUUUUGUUGGUUUCUAGAGCUGAGGUAAUGAUUAAUAGGGAUAGUUGGGGGCAUUCGUAUUUAACUGUCAGAAGUGAAAUUCUUGGAUUUGUUAAAGACGGACUACUGCGAAAGCAUUUGCCAAGGAUGUUUUCAUUG